rnacentral:rRNA from 1 species
GAUGAACGCUGGCGGCGUGCUUAACACAUGCAAGUCGAACGAUGAAGCUGGAGCUUGCUCUGGUGGAUUAGUGGCGAACGGGUGAGUAACACGUGAGCAACCUGCCCCUGACUCUAGGAUAACAGCCGGAAACGGCUGCUAAUACCGGAUAUGCACCAUGAACGCAUGUUCUGUGGUGGGAAAGAUUUUUCGGUUGGGGAUGGGCUCGCGGCCUAUCAGCUUGUUGGUGAGGUAAUGGCUCACCAAGGCGUCGACGGGUAGCCGGCCUGAGAGGGUGACCGGCCACACUGGGACUGAGACACGGCCCAGACUCCUACGGGAGGCAGCAGUGGGGAAUAUUGCACAAUGGGCGAAAGCCUGAUGCAGCAACGCCGCGUGAGGGAUGACGGCCUUCGGGUUGUAAACCUCUUUUAGCAGGGAAGAAGCGAGAGUGACGGUACCUGCAGAAAAAGCGCCGGCUAACUACGUGCCAGCAGCCGCGGUAA